rnacentral:lncRNA from 1 species
CUGGUUAUCAACAAUUUACAACUGCAGAUAGUGGUGAAAGGAUCGAAUCCACAGGGAAUUGAGAACUCACCUAUUUCUCUUUUUGGGACCAAGAAAAUAAACUGAAACAAUAAUAAACUAAAAAUGAGAUAAAAACUGAAAGUGGGAUCAAAUGAGAUAAACUGAAAAUUGGGAUCAAAACUGUCAACAAAAUAACAGGGGGGUUUGAGAUUAAUUUUAGUAAACUAAUAAUGAGA